CCGACGGUGAGGGGUGAAGGCUGGGGGCGCAAACCGGAUUAGAUACCCGGGUAGUCCCAGCAGUAAACGAUGCCAGCUAUGUGUUGCUGGAACCAUGGGUUCCAGCAGUGCCGAAGGGAAGCCGUGAAGCUGGCCACCUGGGAAGUACGGUCGCAAGGCUGAAACUUAAAGGAAUUGGCGGGGGAGUACCACAACCGGUGGAGCCUGCGGUUUAGUUGGAUACAACGCCGGGAAUCUUACCGGAGGGGACAGCAGUAUGAAGGCCAGGCUAAAGACCUUGCCAGAUCAGCUGAGAGGAGGUGCAUGGCCGUCGCCAGUUCGUACCGUGAGGCAUCCUGUUUAGUCAGGCAACGAUCGAGACCCGCAGUCUUAUUUGCCAGCAUGCCCUUUGGGGUGUAUGGGUACAAUAAGACGACCGCCAGCGCUAAGCUGGAGGAAGGAGCGGGCUACGGUAGGUCAGCAUGCCCCGAAUCCUCCGGGAUACACGCGGGCUACAAUGGUCAGGACAAAAGGUACCGACCUCGAAAGAGUGAGGUAAUCCACAAACCUGAUCUCAGUCCGGAUCGAAGGCUGCAACUCGCCUUCGUGAAGAUGGAAUCGGUAGUAAUCGUGACUCAAAAUG
rnacentral:rRNA from 1 species